CGGUGGCAGCUGCCGAGGGAGGGGACCGUCCCCGCUGUGAGCUAGGCAGAGCUCCGGAAAGCCCGCGGUCGUCAGCCCGGCUGGCCCGGUGGCGCCAGAGCUGUGGCGCGUCGCUUGCGUCAUCUCACGUGUCGAGGUGAUCUCGAACUUUUAGGCUCCAGAGAUCCUCCCGCAUCGGCCUCCCGGAGUGCUGUGAUGACACGCGUGGGCACGACGGAGUUUCACUCUUGUCGCCCAGGGUGGAGUACGAUGGCGGCUCUCGGCUCACCGCACCCUCCGCCUCCCAGGUUCAAGUGAUUCUCCUGCCUCAGCCUUCCCGAGUAGCUGGAAUGACAGAGAUGAGCCAUCGUGCCCGGCUAAUUUUUCUAUUUUUACUACAGAUGGGGUUUCUCCAUCUUGGUCAGGCUGGUCUUCAACUUCCGACCGUUGGAGAAUCUUAACUUUCUUGGUGGUGGUUGUUUUCCUUUUUCUUUUUUUUCUUUUCUUUUCUUUCCUUCUCCUCCCCCCCCACCCCCCCUUGUCGUCGUCCUCCUCCUCCUCCU
rnacentral:lncRNA from 1 species